GAUGAACGCUGGCGGCGUGCCUAAUACAUGCAAGUCGAGCGAACAGAUAAGGAGCUUGCUCCUUUGACGUUAGCGGCGGACGGGUGAGUAACACGUGGGUAACCUACCUAUAAGACUGGAAUAACUCCGGGAAACCGGGGCUAAUGCCGGAUAACAUUUAGAACCGCAUGGUUCUAAAGUGAAAGAUGGUUUUGCUAUCACUUAUAGAUGGACCCGCGCCGUAUUAGCUAGUUGGUAAGGUAACGGCUUACCAAGGCAACGAUACGUAGCCGACCUGAGAGGGGGAGGGGACAAAGGGGAAAUGAGACAAGGGAGAGAAGCGUCGGAGAGGGAGCAGUAGGGAAGCUUAGGAAAGGGGCGAAAGACUGAAGGAGAAAAGCGGAGGGAGAAAUGAAGGUCUGCGGAUGGGAAAAAGCUGGGAGGAGGGAAGAAAAAAGGGGUAAGGAAAUGGGAACGGCGGGACGGGAGCUAAGCAGAAAGAAAAGGAUAACUACGAG
rnacentral:rRNA from 1 species